rnacentral:rRNA from 1 species
UACGCAGGGUGCAAGCGUUGUCCGGAAUUACUGGGCGUAAAGGGCUCGUAGGCGGCCAACUAAGUCAGACGUGAAAUCCCCAGGCUUAACCUGGGAACUGCGUCUGAUACUGGAUGGCUUGAAUUCGGGAGAGGGAUGCAGAAUUCCAGGUGUAGCGGUGAAAUGCGUAGAUAUCUGGAGGAACACCUGCGGCGAAGGCGGGUUGCUGGGCUGAUACUGACGCUGAGGCGCGAAAGCCAGGGGAGCGGACGGG